GAUGGCUGAAGACAGCCAGGAUGCAAGUGUUCAGUCUGGUGGUGAUGUUCAGAAUGAAAAGUCUACUGAAGAUGAAGGUGAAAGGUCCAAUGGCAAACACACUGAUUUCGAAAGAAGAUAUAUGAAAAUAACGUCAUGGGCGCGAUGUUCACUCCUUGUGGGCAUGGAAAU